CCCCGAACAUCCUAUUUCCAUUACUGAUUUCCCCGGUUAUAAGUACUGAUGCUCCCAAAUUUUGAAGCAGUAUGCAGUAUAUCCUUAAAAAAUAAAGAUAUAACCAGGAAUAUUUGCAGUACAUAUAAUAUAUAAUAAUAUAUAUAAUAGUACGAAUGAGGGUUUGGUGAAGAGGGGACUUAUUAUUUCGUGGUCAAUACCUGGUUCGAUUGGCAGUGUAUUAAGACCGAGAUGCUGGUCCAAACAUCAUCAGAAAAAAUAUCUACUAAUAAAACGAGUUAAUCAAAUAUAUCAUUAGUUUAUAUGAAAUAUUCUAGUCUUAGUUUUUACUGAUUCUUGAAGGACUUCAGCGGGAAAAUGACCAAAUACAGAUUGUUUAUUAUCCAAC
rnacentral:lncRNA from 1 species